AUACGGAGGGUCCAAGCGUUAUCCGGAAUCAUUGGGUUUAAAGGGUCCGUAGGCGGGCAAUUAAGUCAGAGGUGAAAUCCCACAGCUCAACUGUGGAACUGCCUUUGAUACUGGUUGUCUUGAAUUAUAGUGAAGUAGAUAGAAUGUGUAGUGUAGCGGUGAAAUGCAUAGAUAUUACACAGAAUACCGAUUGCGAAGGCAGUCUACUAACUAUAUAUUGACGCUGAUGGACGAAAGCGUGGGGAGCGAACAGGAUUAGAAACCCUUGUAGUCC
rnacentral:rRNA from 1 species